AGACUCCAUCUCCAUCGAAUCUAGAACUAAAGACCUCAUAUAUCCAUCCCAGAUCUGAAACCCCCUAUCGAAGGUUAUGGGGUUCUACAUCAAAUGAAAAUUUACCAAUAUGGAAGGAAGCAUUCGAAGGUCUGCGUCGUUUAUUUUUGCCCCGAGACGCACUCUCUAUUAUGUUCACUCUCCUUCCGGAGAUGAUGACUGGAGGAUGGCCGGAGAAGAUGACUGCUGGUCAGUGGUGGUUCAGAUCAGUGGUGGUUGGCGGCGGUUAAGA